rnacentral:rRNA from 1 species
AGAGCGAACGCUGGCGGCAGGCUUAACACAUGCAAGUCGAGCGGGCACCUUCGGGUGUCAGCGGCAGACGGGUGAGUAACACGUGGGAACGUACCCUUCGGUUCGGAAUAACGCUGGGAAACUAGCGCUAAAUACCGGAUACGCCCUUUUGGGGAAAGGUUUACUGCCGAAGGAUCGGCCCGCGUCUGAUUAGCUAGUUGGUGGGGUAACGGCCUACCAAGGCGACGAUCAGUAGCUGGUCUGAGAGGAUGAUCAGCCACACUGGGACUGAGACACGGCCCAGACUCCUACGGGAGGCAGCAGUGGGGAAUAUUGGACAAUGGGCGCAAGCCUGAUCCAGCCAUGCCGCGUGAGUGAUGAAGGCCUUAGGGUUGUAAAGCUCUUUUGUCCGGGACGAUAAUGACGGUACCGGAAGAAUAAGCCCCGGCUAACUUCGUGCCAGCAGCCGC